UACGUAGGGCGCAAGCGUUGUCCGGAAUUAUUGGGCGUAAAGAGCUCGUAGGCGGCUUGUCGCGUCGAUUGUGAAAGCCCGGGGCUUAACUCCGGGUCUGCAGUCGAUACGGGCAGGCUAGAGUGUGGUAGGGGAGAUCGGAAUUCCUGGUGUAGCGGUGAAAUGCGCAGAUAUCAGGAGGAACACCGGUGGCGAAGGCGGAUCUCUGGGCCAUUACUGACACUGAGAAGCGAAAGCAUGGGGAGCGAACAGG
rnacentral:rRNA from 1 species